GACGAACGCUGGCGGCGUGCUUAACACAUGCAAGUCGAACGGAAAGGCCCGGCUUUUGUGGGGUGCUCGAGUGGCGAACGGGUGAGUAACACGUGAGUAACCUGCCCUUGACUUUGGGAUAACUUCAGGAAACUGGGGCUAAUACCGGAUAGGAGCUCCUGCUGCAUGGUGUGGGUUGGAAAGUUUCGGCGGUUGGGGAUGGACUCGCGGCUUAUCAGCUUGUUGGUGGGGUAGUGGCUUACCAAGGCUUUGACGGGUAGCCGGCCUGAGAGGGUGACCGGCCACAUUGGGACUGCGGUACGGCCCAGACUCCUACGGGAGGCAGCAGUGGGGAAUCUUGCACAAUGGGCGGAAGCCUGAUGCAGCAACGCCGCGUGCGGGAUGACGGCCUUCGGGUUGUAAACCGCUUUCGCCUGUGACGAAGCGUGAGUGACGGUAAUGGGUAAAGAAGCACCGGCUAACUACGUG
rnacentral:rRNA from 1 species